GUAGGGUCCAAGCGUUAAUCGGGAAUUACUGGGGCGUAAAGCGUGCGCAGGCGGUUGUGCAAGACCGAUGUGAAAUCCCCCGGGGCUUAACCUGGGAAUUGCAUUGGUGACUGCACGGCUAGAGUGUGUCAGAGGGGGGUAGAAUUCCACGUGUAGCAGUGAAAUGCGUAGAGAUGUGGAGGAAUACCGAUGGCGAAGGCAGCCCCCUGGGAUAACACUGACGCCCAUGCACGAAAGCGUGGGGAGCAAACAGGAUUAGAUACCCUGGUAGUCCACGCCCUAAACGAUGUCAACUAGUUGUUGGGGAUUCAUUUCCUUAGUAACGUAGCUAACGCGUGAAGUUGACCGCCUGGGGAGUACGGUCGCAAAGAUUAA
rnacentral:rRNA from 1 species